rnacentral:lncRNA from 1 species
ACUCGAAGAAUAGCGGUUGUAAGAGGUCGAUCCACAGGGAGGCGAUUGGAGUUGCAUAAAAAUUAGAACAUUCACUCGGAUUCAAAAUCGACUUUUGAAUGAUGGAAGAAAAAACAUUAUGUCGGGGAUAUUGACUGAUUUCCUGGUCUACCAGAGAAUUAUUUUUUAUUGAAAUCAACUAGAGGACAUAUACUUAGAUUUAAAAAGCAUUUAUAUAUUUAAUAAAAAAGAAAGCUCUGAACUAAAAUAGAUGAAAACAGUGCUAGGAAUAUUGAAGACUAGAACAUCAAUUUCAUGAAAGAAAUUUUAAUGUAUUAAAGAAAGAUUACAGAAUCUGAGGAACAGAAACAACAUAAAUUAAAAACUUUAGCAUAAAUAAAACUCUUAUUUAAACUAAAUCUAAAAAAUCCAAAAUAACAUGUUUCAAAAUAAAACUCUUACUAAAAAAUUAAAACAUUGCUCUCAAUUAAACUAAAGAAAUAGGAACAACAUAAUGCCCAAAAUCACUAAUACACAAAUUAAAAACAUAACUUCUAAAAAA